rnacentral:rRNA from 1 species
GAUGAACGCUGGCGGCGUGCCUAAUACAUGCAAGUCGAGCGAACAGACGAGGAGCUUGCUCCUUUGACGUUAGCGGCGGACGGGUGAGUAACACGUGGAUAACCUACCUAUAAGACUGGGAUAACUUCGGGAAACCGGAGCUAAUACCGGAUAACAUGUUGAACCGCAUGGUUCAACAGUGAAAGACGGUUUUGCUGUCACUUAUAGAUGGAUCCGCGCCGCAUUAGCUAGUUGGUAAGGUAACGGCUUACCAAGGCAACGAUGCGUAGCCGACCUGAGAGGGUGAUCGGCCACACUGGAACUGAGACACGGUCCAGACUCCUACGGGAGGCAGCAGUAGGGAAUCUUCCGCAAUGGGCGAAAGCCUGACGGAGCAACGACGCGUGAGUGAAGAAGGUCUUCGGAUCGUAAAACUCUGUUAUUAGGGAAGAACAAAUGUGUAAGUAACUAUGCACGUCUUGACGGUACCUAAUCAGAAAGCCACGGCUAACUACGUG